ensembl:lncRNA
AUGUUCCUGGGUUCUGCCAUGUUACCACCAGCCCCAUGUACCAAGCUCUAGAUUAAGGAGUUGAGGGAAAGAAACCUUCUCUGUUCAGUUGUGGAUGGUGGUGGUGUCAACUGGAGUCUGGAGAUAUUUUAAUAGACAACUACAGCACUCAUCUUUUCUGGGUUGCCCUUUAAGUAAAAGCUGUGAGUAGAAAUGAAAUGUUGCUGUAGAUAACUUAAUUGACUUUUACCAUUGCCUGCUUCCUCACCGCCUUCGAAGUACUCCAGGUUUCAGGGGAAAGGAGAAACUUCUCAUCAAUUUAUUGGAUACUGCCCUAGACCUUUAAAGAUUUCCUGUGGCUGCAAGGAUGUUCUCCAGAAGAGAAUAUGGAUCAAGUGGACCAGGCAGCUGGAUAAAAAGGGAAUAUGCCACAAGAAGAGGCCAGGAGAAGAAGUACCUGCUCUAAUGAGAACAUACAAGUUAUUCAAGGUGUGAAGUCUCUGUACCUACCUUUGGGAACUGGGUUCUUAGCUUGGCAAGUCAUUCAGUGCAUUCCUCACAUAAAGCUGCUAGGGAAUGGUAUUAAUUGCAAUAAGUCAAUAAGUUUGUAAGUUAAUCAGGUACUCAUCCAAGGCACAGGAAGAAUCUGUGCAAAGGAAUACUAUUCCCAGUAUUCCUAAUAUUACAUACAUAAUGGCUAUGGAACACAUAAAAAUAUAUAUGAAAAUGUUCAUGGUUUUGCUAUAAAACAAGCUGUCUGUAAAAUUUCCAUUUAAAGUUUAUUUUAAUCUGAUUGAUAUUAAAUGUUGUCCCUUAAUGAGCAGCUCAUUGUUUUGAAGAAUUGACUGUACAUUUACAUUUUUUUUCUUUAAAAAAGUUACUAAAUUUCUUUAAAAACAUUACUAAUCACUAAAUGCAUGCAAAAUUUUCUACACUACUGAAAUAAUAUUCUACAACAAUAUUCAUUCACUGCAACAUGGAGAGGAAGAUCUGAAAGGUUCACUCAUCCUGAAUGAUAGUGAGGAUGUUGUGUUUAUUUGGUUUUGUGUGUGGGUCUGUUUGUCUGUUUGUUAUUGCUUUCACAUUUUUCUUUCCCUUAAGAGGUCGUGUUGAGCCACAUUCAUUGUUGCCCACAUGUGUUUGUAUAUUGUGCAAAGGUAAUGAACUGAAAUGUAAACUUUGUGCAGAAGAAACUUGCAGUGAGUAAAUGCUUUGCUUACACU